AAACAGGAUUUUCUAAAAUCUAAAGAAAGUUAUAGAAAAGCAUUCU
rfam:Pseudopedobacter saltans DSM 12145 chromosome, complete genome.